CCUACGGGACGCAGCAGCGGGGAAUAUUGCACAAUGGGCGCAAGCCUGAUGCAGCCAUGCCGCGUGUGUGAAGAAGGACUUCGGGUUGUAAAGCACUUUCAGCGAGGAGGAAGGCGGUGAGGUUAAUAACCUCACCGAUUGACGUUACCCGCAGAAGAGGCACCGGCUAACUCCGUGCCAGCAGCCGCGGUAAUACGGAGGGUGCAAGCGUUAAUCGGAAUUACUGGGCGUAAAGCGCACGCAGGCGGUCUGUCGAGUCGGAUGUGAAAUCCCCGGGCUCAACCUGGGAACUGCAUUCGAAACUGGCAGGCUAGAGUCUUGUAGAGGGGGGUAGAAUUCCAGGUGUAGCGGUGAAAUGCGUAGAGAUCUGGAGGAAUACCGGUGGCGAAGGCGGCCCCCUGGACAAAGACUGACGCUCAGGUGCUAAAGCGUGGGGAGCAAACAGGAUUAGAUACCCUAGUAGUC
rnacentral:rRNA from 1 species